rnacentral:rRNA from 1 species
GCUUGUCUCAAAGAUUAAGCCAUGCAUGUCUAAGUAUAAGCCUUUAUAUGGUGAGACUGCGAAUGGCUCAUUAAAUCAGAAACUGUUUAUUUGAUAGUGCCUACUACAUGGAUACCUGUAGUAAUUCUAGAGCUAAUACAUGCAUCAAACCCCGACUUCUGGAAGGGGUGUAUUUAUUAGAUGGAAACCAAUGCAGGGCAACCUGGAAUAUGGUGAUUCAUAAUAACUCGCGGAUCGGUUUACCGAUGCAUCAUUCAAGUUUCUGCCCUAUCAGCUUUGGAUGGUAGGGUAUUGGCCUACCAUGGCUUUAACGGGUAACGGAGAAUUAGGGUUCGAUUCCGGAGAGGGAGCCUGAGAAAUGGCUACCACAUCCAAGGAAGGCAGCAGG